UUGAAUGUGAUGUGCCCACCAAAUACUUU
rnacentral:piRNA from 1 species